rnacentral:lncRNA from 1 species
UCGUAAACUUACGAGAGGGUCAGGGGUCUCGUAAAUAUUUACGAUAUCGUAAAUAAAAUGGCGGCAUCCGUGUGAGCAACCACGACGAAACUUUCUGUCGAAAAUACUGCAGAUUGUUCAGCAGUAAAACUUGAUUUUCCGUGUACAUGUUGCACAACAGUGGAUGAACUACGUCAUCGAUCAUACAAAAGCACGCGCUUUGGGUUAGUGCGACACGAAGCGGAAGCGAGUGUAAAGGAAAUAUUGAGCACAUAAAUUCUGUUUAUCUUCGCUGUUUCCUGUGUUGACAGAUCAAUUGGAGGGACAUGCUGAAUGCCAGAAGAAAUUACAGACAACAAUACUGCUCAGUGCAGUAACCAGACCUAAAAAAAAAACACUGCUCAAGGCAAACUUUUGGGACAGAGUGCUGCAUACAUGGGCUUAUGCACAAACUGAGAUUUUGCAAGUCAACUGUCAAAGUCAUAAAGAGAGAUCUAUAGUGGACAAUGUUGAACAGAGUUGAAGUCCUGGAAUCUCGGUCAACUGCAGAUAGCAGCAUGGCGUAAAGCAGACGUCUUGUUUCUCAGUCCAAUUUUAGUCAGGUAUUCUUGGUGGUAUGAAACUGCAGUCAACACAGGUUUUUAGAGGUCUGCAAGUACAGAGUUUUAAAUUGUGAAAUAAAACCUCUAACCAGUUAGCAGAGUGUGUGUGUGUUAUGCUGUGCUGAGAUAUUGCUGUGACAUAUGGUGCAUUAAGGUCCAUAACCUGGUAUUAUAUGUGUUGACAACUGUACAAGACAUCCUAUUGAAGACAGUUGUGAGUGAGCAACAGCCCAAGACACCUUGUUAAUGCUGCCCUGUUACCUACUGAGUUUCUACAUACAAGUCAAGUAUCCAUCAAAGAUUGGCCAUGGUGUUUACAGAACUGAAAGCCAAGCUGUGAUUUUUGAAAAUUUAUUAUAAAGUUCUAAAUGGAAAUACAAUUUGAAAAGCA